rnacentral:SRP_RNA from 1 species
GCUGGGCGUGGCGGCAUGCGCCUGUAGUCCCAGCUACUUGGGAGGCUGAGACAGGAGAAUUGCUUGAACCCGGGAGGUGGAGGUUGCAGUGAGCCCAGGUCGCGCCACUGCACUCCAGCCUGGGUGACAGAGCGAGACUCUGUCUCAA